GAAACAGGGAGAAAGGGAAUAGAACAGGGCUGGCUGGAAUGAGCGAGGGAGAGAAUAUAAAAGGUUAGGGUGAAAAACAGGGAGAAAGGGAAUAGAACAGGGCUGGCUGGAAUGAGCGAGGGAGAGAAUAUAAAAGGUUAGGGUGAAAAACAGGGAGAAAGGGAAUAGAACAGGGCUGGCUGGAAUGAGCGAGGGAGAGAAUAUAAAAGGUUAGGGUGAGAAACAGGGAGAAAGGGAAUAGAACAGGGCUGGCUGGAAUGAGCGAGGGAGAGAAUAUAAAAGGUUAGGGUGAAAAACAGGGAGAAAGGGAAUAGAACAGGGCUGGCUGGAAUGAGCGAGGGAGAGAAUAUAAAAGGUUAGGGUGAGAAACAGGGAGAAAGGGAAUAGAACAGGGCUGGCUGGAAUGAGCGAGGGAGAGAAUAUAAAAGGUUAGGGUGAGAAACAGGGAGAAAGGGAAUAGAACAGGGCUGGCUGGAAUGAGCGAGGGAGAGAAUAUAAAAGGUUAGGGUGAAAAACAGGGAGAAAGGGAAUAGAACAGGGCUGGCUGGAAUGAGCGAGGGAGAGAAUAUAAAAGGUUAGGGUGAAAAACAGGGAGAAAGGGAAUAGAACA